rnacentral:lncRNA from 1 species
CCCGAGCUAACAUGGGGUUAGUUCGUUAAAUUACAAUAAAGCCUCGUGCAGUUUGCAGCAAGCUCUCGAAUCCGCCUGGUGAUUGGGGUGACCGCGAACCUGGCCUGAGACCCCGGAUACUUGAGUUUUCGGGGGUCUAACAUUUUGGGGGCUCGUCCGGGAUUUGCGACCACCCUUCACCUGAGUGGAUUCGAUCUUGGAGGGGUCUUUUCUUGUUGCCCUAAGCACAUGGCACGGGAAAGGAGUUCUGCCAUGUGUCACGGGUUAGAAUGUGUUAUGUUGGACACCCCUACCCCAGGUCUCUCUGCCUUGAGCCACAUGGAGCUAGAGCGUAUGAACUUAUCUGGCCUGAUCCGGACAUCUAAAUGGCCUUAAAGUUAUUAAGAACUAUAAAAGGGACUUUGACAAAAUUUUUAUGUUAACUAAAAAAUAAAAAAAAAAUGUAAAAGACUUAAAUAAUAAAGAAAAAAAAUUGUCUAAGAAUGUCUAAGAAAGUCAGAGAAAUAAAAUAAAAGAUUAUAGAGAGUUAAAACAAAUGGUAAAAGUUAUAGAGGGUUAAAGCAAGUUGUUGGAGGUCAGAGAAAAAGAUUGUUACAGAAAGUUAUAGAGGGUUAAAGUAAGUUGUAGAAGGUCAAAGGAAAGUUGUCGAAGGUCAGAGAAAAGGUUGUUACAAGCCAAAAAAAAAAAAUGUAAACUGUGCUAUGGUUUCUCAUGUCUACAAAUAAAUUUUAAAAAUGGUAAUAUAAGUUAAAAUUUUAACCAUAUUAAGCUGAUUUUGUUUUUUAAAAAGUCCUGUUUAUUUCUCAAGUAAAUUAUGUAUACUUGUUUUAAAAAUGUUCUAUUUCCUGGUAUAAACUUAAGCAUGUUAAGCAAAGCAAGUUACGGCCAUUUUGUAACUGGUCACAUGACUUGACUGGUCGCCAUUUUGCUAAAGUUAAAAAAAGAAUACUUAAACCGCCAUCUUGACUAAAGAUGACCGCAUGGAAAUUAGAGUUUAUAAUGUCAGACAGACUGCCAGAUCCGGACAGUGACCCAAAGUCUCCAAAGAAGAUUACGAGGCACCUCAGUUCCUGCACCUGGACCAGUGAGCGAGAUGCUCAGAUGUGAAACCUGCCGCCUGCCAGAACCUGGCCGAGAAUGUGGACAAAGCUGCUGGACACUGGAAAAUUGAUUGUACCCCUUUGCCUAGACAAAACAAGGUCAGUCUUUUCCAUGUCCCUCUUCCACAGAGAGGAAAAAAACUCUCACAGUAUAGGCCUGGCGAAGAUUGCUGUUCUUUGAGACAGCUGCCUCCAACGGUAAUGGAGAAACUUGGGUGUGGCUAACUGUAUAUAGACUGGCUUCUGUCACUUUUCAGUAGAUUCGGAUAAAAUAUACCCUUCUCAGAUCUCUGAAAUAUUACUGGUUGUCAGCUUGACAGCAUCAGUCAGUCAGAUCCACUAUAGACUAGUCAGUAUGUUAGCUGAUAAAAUAGUAACUAUCUACUGUUCAGGCACGAGCUCAAGGUUUUUAAGUUUAUUUUGGUUGUCAUCUAAGUACAAACUUAAAGGGCUUUUCAUCAGGCCAAAGGCACCUCUGUCCAAUCCAUACCUGGCUCUCUGGACAGAAGAAAAAUGUACAUGCUUAUAGCCCAAAUCUGCAGUUUUUGCUAGGACUCAAAGUUAUAAAUAUGUUCCUGCUGUUUAAACAGAUAUUGCUUUUUCUGCACUGUGGGCUUCAGUAAAUAAGUUUUAACCUCUGUUCCUAGUUUAAACAUGUCUUAAACAGGUUUCUGCUUCUGGCAGACAUCUGAGUAUCAGUUGCUGACUACCGGCUGUUCUAAGUAGACUGCGAGCCCUAGACUUGCUGUGGAUGUAAACCAGUCCAGCUGAUGUGGACACCCCCUAUCUCUGCAACAGUGUCUUCUAACCAGAAGCCCCUGAUGAAUUCCCCAUUGCCUAAAUUCCUUUUUGCUUUUGACUAGCAUUUCAACCUUCUGGGGUCCCUAACUUCGUCCCAAAGUCAGCAGGAAGCAGUUUGGAAAAGAAUUUCGCCGUCCAUUUUCCCUGGUUAAAAUGCUAAGUCAAAAGGAACUCCCUUGCAUGGGGAUGCCAGUAUCUAUCACUCCCUGAUGGGGAUGCUAGAGAGACAGCAAUUCCAUGAUUGGAAUUUACAAAAAAGAAAAUGGGGGAAUGAAGGAACCGGCUUCCCUUUUGGCAGCCAUAACAGCCGAACACGUGCUUGCCAUAAACCUGCCUUGGUCACUUAGAG